UACAGAGGGUGCGAGCGUUUAAUCGGAAUUACUGGGCGUAAAGCGCACGUAGGCGGCUUGGUAUGUCGGGUGUGAAAUCCCCGGGCUCAACCUGGGAACUGCAUCCGAAACUGCCUUGCUCGAGUAUGGGAGAGGGAAGUGGAAUUUCCGGUGUAGCGGUGAAAUGCGUAGAUAUCGGAAGGAACAUCAGUGGCGAAGGCGACUUCCUGGACCAAUACUGACGCUCAGGUGCGAAAGCGUGGGGAGCAAACAGG
rnacentral:rRNA from 1 species